rnacentral:rRNA from 1 species
GAUGAACGCCGGCGGCGUGCCUAAUACAUGCAAGUCGAGCGAACGGACGAGAAGCUUGCUUCUCUGAUGUUAGCGGCGGACGGGUGAGUAACACGUGGAUAACCUACCUAUAAGACUGGGAUAACUUCGGGAAACCGGAGCUAAUACCGGAUAAUAUUUUGAACCGCAUGGUUCAAAAGUGAAAGACGGUCUUGCUGUCACUUAUAGAUGGAUCCGCGCUGCAUUAGCUAGUUGGUAAGGUAACGGCUUACCAAGGCAACGAUGCAUAGCCGACCUGAGAGGGUGAUCGGCCACACUGGAACUGAGACACGGUCCAGACUCCUACGGGAGGCAGCAGUAGGGAAUCUUCCGCAAUGGGCGAAAGCCUGACGGAGCAACGCCGCGUGAGUGAUGAAGGUCCUCGGAUCGUAAAACUCUGUUAUUAGGGAAGAACAUAUGUGUAAGUAACUGUGCACAUCUUGACGGUACCUAAUCAGAAAGCCACGGCUAACUACGUG